rnacentral:rRNA from 1 species
UACGGGAGGCAGCAGUGGGGAAUAUUGCACAAUGGGCGCAAGCCUGAUGCAGCCAUGCCGCGUGUAUGAAGAAGGCCUUCGGGUUGUAAAGUACUUUCAGUCGUGAGGAAGGUGUUAAGGUUAAUAACCUUAGCAAUUGACGUUAGCGACAGAAGAAGCACCGGCUAACUCCGUGCCAGCAGCCGCGGUAAUACGGAGGGUGCGAGCGUUAAUCGGAAUUACUGGGCGUAAAGGGCACGCAGGCGGUUAAUUAAGUUGGAUGUGAAAUCCCCGGGCUUAACCUGGGAAUGGCAUUCAAGACUGGUUAGCUAGAGUCUUGUAGAGGGGGUAGAAUUCCAUGUGUAGCGGUGAAAUGCGUAGAGAUGUGGAGGAAUACCGGUGGCGAAGGCGGCCCCUGGACAAAGACUGACGCUCAUGUGCGAAAGCGUGGGGAGCAAACAGGAUUAGAUACCCGG